CCGGGCCGGGGGCCGGGGCGAGCGCAGCGCCGCGGGGUCCCCUGGCGGGGCUGGCUCGGGCUUCGUCCCCGGACACGCCGAGGCUGCAGUCCCCGUUGGAAACCCCGCCGCUGUCACAGCGCGCCCGCCCGUGGCCGAGGCGACCUCCCCCGCCGCCGCCGCCGCCGCCGCCGCCGCCUUCCUCGCUCUGCCGGCCGCCGCCGCUCCCGCGCCCUCGCCCCCGUCAGCCCGGGUUGUCCGCGCGCCACAGGACGGAAGAUUGAUCACAGCUAGAGCAAACUUUGUGCACGGGAGGAAGGCACCGGUUUCAAGCAUACUCCCCCAGCACUGAGAAAACCCCAGUCGUCGAGGACUUGCUUGGCCCAACAACAGGAUCCAAUAUUUGGGAGUAUGCUUGAGAAAACAGAGCUUCAGGAAAAGCUGAGAAUGACCUCUCUUUGGCUGACUCAUUCUGACUUUAAAGUAAUAUGUCUUUACAGAACAUGCAGGAAGACCAAACAGCUCCCUGGAUCAGAGUGCCUGUUCCACAUCCACUGUACCAGUUCUCCAAACUGGCUGAAUGUGUCAACACCUGGAAUGCUAAUUGUACAUAGGCCCUGUUGGAGACAGAAAGGAUGUGAUGAGGACGCCCUUAUCCAUUAUCAAUGGAUAAUUGAUAUCCAUUGCAGCCUAAGGGAAUGCAGCCCUCUGAGAGUUCUCAGGCCCUGCCUGAUUGUCACCUGA
rnacentral:lncRNA from 1 species